UUCAUCCUUCUUGUCAUCACACGGGUUUAGCUUAAAGGGAUUUCUGGGUUUCGUAAAAAAAAAGGGAGGAAGAUCGAAGGAAAAAGAACUGGAGUAAUUAAUAUAUGAAUCCCCAGUCUGCUCAUCAAUCUGGUAAUUAUAGCACCAAUGAAGAAAGCAUUUAGAUUUGAUGGGUUUGAUGUCAAUGAGCACCAAUGAAGAAAGCAUUUAGAUUUGAUAGGUUUGAUGUCAAUGGUAUGAAUCUCUCUCUCAUUUUGGUUUUGUUUUUGGUUCACCAAAUGGUUUUCAUCUAUUUUGAAUUUUCUGAUUUUUUAUACGAGAUGUGCAGUUGUUGCGACUCUUAAUCCUUAAAUCUUCUCCAUCUUACUUGCUAAAGUAGAAAGUUCACAUUAGUUUGGUUGUUUUUGGGUCUUCCUGCUAACUACUUAGAACAUGCAUUUUAAGUUCAAUUUUUGUUGGCUUGGCAUUUCCCUUUUUUAAGAAUCUAUUUCAUUUGUUUUAACUUUUCCCUUUAUCCAUUUUUCCCCCCUAAUAAUUGAACAUAUUUUUCAUCUCUGGGUAGCAUUUCUUUUUCUACUUUGUUGGUUAAGCCAGCCCCAUUGUAGUGAGUAGAAGGGAGAUUUACAGUUUCAUAAAGGAAGCAUUUAGGUAACGUACGGACUAUUAUCCCUCUGUUGAUUUCGUGGUCUGUUGUUGUUUUGUGUUUAGCUAAUUUUAGAAGUGGAUUAGGGUUUCUAAAUGGCAGUUAAUCACUCUGAAUCUCAAUGUUGUUGUUACUGAUUAGCUGUGAUUUCCCCCAAAAAUAUGUAGCUUAAGAGUCGAUGAAGUACUCAUCAAUAUGCGUGCUCAAUGUUGUUGUUCUUUGAAUCUGUGUUUUGUUGUGAUAUUCAGAUUUCUCAUACAUUAGACCAUGUCUUCCUCUUUUUGUUUCAAUGUUGAAAGCAUUUAGGUUUGAUAUGUUUACUAUCUCUAAUAUUUGGAUCCUAAUGGAAUUUCUUUGAUUAUAUAUGCUGUUUCUCCAGAGCACCAAUAAAAAAAGCAUUUAGAUUUGAUGGGUUUGAUGUCAAUGGUAUGAAUCUCUC